AGAUACCCUGGUAGUCCACGCUGUAAACGAUGAGUGCUAAAUGUGAGGAUUUUAUCUUUGUAUUGUAGCUAACGCGUUAAGCACUCCGCCUGGGGACUACGGUCGCAAGACUAAAACUCAAAGGAAUUGACGGGGACCCGCACAAGCGGUGGAGCAUGUGGUUUAAUUCGAUGCUACGCGAAAAACCUUACCACUUUUUGACAUGAAGGUCGUAUCCCUUCUAACAGGGGGAGUCAGUUCGGCUGGACCUUACACAGGUGCUGCAUGGUUGUCGUCAGCUCGUGUCGUGAGAUGUUGGGUUAAGUCCCGCAACGAGCGCAACCCUCAUUCUUAGUUACCAACAGGUAAUGNNGGGCACUCUAAGGAAACUGCCAGUGAUAAACUGGAGGAAGGUGGGGAUGAUGUCAAAUCAGCACGGCCCUUAUAGGGUGGGCUACACACGUGCUACAAUGGCAACUACAAUAGGUUGCGAGACCGCAAGGUUUAGCUAAUCCAUAAAAGUUGUCUCAGUUCGGAUUGUUCUCUGAAACUCGAGAGCAUGAAGUCGGAAUCGCUAGUAAUCGUGGAUCAUCACGCCACGGUGAAUACGUUCUCGGGUCUUGUACACACUGCCCGUCACGCCAUGGGAAUUGGCUUAACUCGAAGCUGGUGUGCUAACCGCAAGGAAGCAGCCAUUUAAGGUUGGGUUAGUGACUAGGGUG
rnacentral:rRNA from 1 species